rnacentral:lncRNA from 1 species
CUUGGCUCUACCCCUGUAUAACCGGAUUUACUAAACCUUAGGAGCUGAGCCAGGAAUGGUGGUGCAUGCCUGUUGUCUCAGCUACUUGGGAGGCUGAGGUGGGAGAUCGAUUUAACCCAUGUGUUUAAAACCGAACGGAGCUAUGAUCAUGCCACUGCACUCCAGCCUAGGCAGCAGAGUGACAGCCCGUGAAGAAAGAGAGAGAGAGAGAGAGAGUGAGAGACAGAGAGAGACAGAGAGAGAGAGACCUUAAGAGCUGAAUCCUUAUCAACGGAUUCUAAUGAAAGGCCAU